rnacentral:tRNA from 1 species
GUGGAAAGAGCUAGGUAGGUUUAGUUUUAGUUUGUGACUCUAAAGUUCAUGGGUUCAAAUCCCAUUUUCCACC